AGUGAACGCUGGCGGCAGGCCUAACACAUGCAAGUCGAACGGCAGCACAGGAGAGCUUGCUCUCUGGGUGGCGAGUGGCGGACGGGUGAGGAAUAUAUCGGAAUCUACCCUUUCGUGGGGGAUAACGUAGGGAAACUUACGCUAAUACCGCAUACGGACUGAGGUUGAAAGCGGCGGACCGCAAGGCGUCGCGCGGAUGGAUGAGCCGAUAUCCGAUUAGCUAGUUGGCGGGGUAAAGGCCCACCAAGGCGACGAUCGGUAGCUGGUCUGAGAGGAUGAUAAGCCACACUGGAACGGAGACACGGUCCAGACUCCUACGGGAGGCAGCAGUGGGGAAUAUUGGACAAUGGGCGCAAGCCUGAUCCAGCCAUGCCGCGUGUGUGAAGAAGGCCUUCGGGUUGUAAAGCACUUUUGUUGGGAAAGAAAAGCGGUCGGUUAAUACCCGGUCGUUCUGACGGUACCCAAAGAAUAAGCACCGGCUAACUUCGUGCCAGCCGCCGCGGUAACAC
rnacentral:rRNA from 1 species